rnacentral:rRNA from 1 species
GACGAACGCUGGCGGCGUGCCUAACACAUGCAAGUCGAACGGAAAGGCCCUGCUUUGGUGGGGUGCUCGAGUGGCGAACGGGUGAGUAACACGUGAGUAACCUGCCCUUGACUUUGGGAUAAGUUCAGGAAACUGGGGCUAAUACCGGAUAGGAGCUACUGCUUCUUGGUCGGGGUUGGAAAGUUUCGGCGGUUGGGGAUGGAAUCGCGGCUUAUCAGCUUGUUGGUGGGGUAGUGGCGUACCAAGGCUUUGCCGGGUAGCCGGGCUGAGAGGGGGAGAGGCCCCAUUGCGACUGAGAUACGGCCCAGCCUCCUACGGUAGGGAGAGGUGGGGAAUAGUACACAGUGGGCGGAAGCCUGAUGCAGCACCGCCGCGUGCGGGAUGUCGUCCUUGGGUUUGUAAACCGCAUUUGUUUGUGACGAAGCGUGAGUGACGGUAAUGGGUGAAGAAGCACCGGCUAACUACGUG